AGCAGUGGGGAAUUUUGGACAAUGGGCGCAAGCCUGAUCCAGCAAUGCCGCGUGAGUGAAGAAGGCCUUCGGGUUGUAAAGCUCUUUUGUCAGGGAAGAAACGGUGAGGGCUAAUAUCUCUUGCUAAUGACGGUACCUGAAGAAUAAGCACCGGCUAACUACGUGCCAGCAGCCGCGGUAAUACGUAGGGUGCAAGCGUUAAUCGGAAUUACUGGGCGUAAAGCGUGCGCAGGCGGUUUUGUAAGUUUGUCGUGAAAGCCCCGGGCUCAACCUGGGAAUUGCGAUGAAGACUGCAAGGCUUGAAUCUGGCAGAGGGGGGUAGAAUUCCACGUGUAGCAGUGAAAUGCGUAGAGAUGUGGAGGACACCGAUGGCGAAGCAGCCCCCUGGGUCAAGAUUGACGCUCAUG
rnacentral:rRNA from 1 species